rnacentral:rRNA from 1 species
UACGUAGGGCGCAAGCGUUGUCCGGAAUUAUUGGGCGUAAAGAGCUCGUAGGCGGUUUGUCGCGUCUGCUGUGAAAACUCGAGGCUCAACCUCGGGCUUGCAGUGGGUACGGGCAGACUAGAGUGCGGUAGGGGAGACUGGAAUUCUCGGUGUAGCGGUGAAAUGCGCAGAUAUCAGGAGGAACACCGAUGGCGAAGGCAGUGGUCUGGGCCGAUACUGGACGCUGAGGAGCGAAAGCGUGGGGAGCGAACAGG